GACAGAGGGUGCAAACGUUGUUCGGAAUUACUGGGCGUAAAGCGUGUGUAGGCGGUUGCGCAAGUCGGAUGUGAAAGCCCCGGGCUUAACCCGGGAAGUGCACUCGAAACUGCGUAGCUUGAGUAUCGGAGAGGUUGGUGGAAUUCUCGGUGUAGAGGUGAAAUUCGUAGAUAUCGAGAGGAACACCGGUGGCGAAGGCGGCCAACUGGACGAAUACUGACGCUGAGACACGAAAGCGUGGGGAGCAAACAGG
rnacentral:rRNA from 1 species